ACGAACGCUGGCGGCGCGCUUAACGCAUGCAAGUCGAACGAGAUCCAUCCAGUAGCAAUACUGGUGAAGAUCUAGUGGCGAACGGGUGAGUAUCACGUGAGGAACCCACCCCGGAGACCGGGAUAACCCUCCGAAAGGAGAGCUAAUACCGGAUGUCCUCAUCGGAUCGCAUGUUCUGAUGAGGAAAUGGAUUCCGCUCCGGGACGGCCUCGCGGCCUAUCAGCUAGUUGGUGAGGUAACGGCCCACCAAGGCGACGACGGGUAGCUGGUCUGAGAGGACGAUCAGCCACACUGGGACUGAGACACGGCCCAGACUCCUACGGGAGGCAGCAGCGGGGAAUAUUGCACAAUGGGCGAAAGCCUGAUGCAGCGACGCCGCGUGGGGGAUGAAGGCUCUCGGGUUGUAAACCCCUUUCAGCAGGGACGAAAUCAGACGGUACCUGCAGAAGAAGCUCCGGCCAACUACGU
rnacentral:rRNA from 1 species